rnacentral:rRNA from 1 species
UUUGGCCGUCCGAGUUGUAGUCUGGAGAAGUGCUUUCCGCGCUGGAUCCGUGUAUAAGUCUCUUGGAACAGAGCGUCAUAGAGGGUGAGAAUCCCGUCUUUGACACGGACUACCAGUGCUUUGUGAUGCGCUCUCAAAGAGUCGAGUUGUUUGGGAAUGCAGCUCAAAAUGGGUGGUGAAUUCCAUCUAAAGCUAAAUAUUGGCGAGAGACCGAUAGCGAACAAGUACCGUGAGGGAAAGAUGAAAAGCACUUUGGAAAGAGAGUUAAACAGUACGUGAAAUUGCUGAAAGGGAAACGCUUGAAGUCAGUCGCGUUAGCCGGAACUCAGCCUUGCUUUCGCUUGGUGCACUUUCCGGUUGACGGGCCAGCAUCGAUUUUGACCGUCGGAUAAGGGCUAGAGUAAUGUGGCACCUCCGGGUGUGUUAUAGACUCUGGUCGCACACGGCGGUUGGGAUCGAGGAACGCAGCGCGCCGUAAGGCAGGGGUUCGCCCACUUUCGCGCUUAGGAUGCUGGCAUAAUGGCUUUAAACGACCCGUCUUGAAACACGGACCAAGGAGUCUAACAUACCUGCGAGUGUUUGGGUGGAAAACCCGAGCGCGUAAUGAAAGUGAAAGUUGAGACCUCUGUCGUGGAGGGCAUCGACGCCCGGACCUGACGUUCUCUGACGGAUCCGCRGUAGAKCAUGUAUGUUGGGACCCGAAAGAUGGUGAACUAUGCC